rnacentral:rRNA from 1 species
GAUGAACGCUGGCGGCGUGCCUAAUACAUGCAAGUCGAGCGAACAGACGAGGAGCUUGCUCCUCUGACGUUAGCGGCGGACGGGUGAGUAACACGUGGAUAACCUACCUAUAAGACUGGGAUAACUUCGGGAAACCGGAGCUAAUACCGGAUAACAUGUUGAACCGCAUGGUUCAACAGUGAAAGACGGUCUUGCUGUCACUUAUAGAUGGAUCCGCGCCGCAUUAGCUAGUUGGUAAGGUAACGGCUUACCAAUGCAACGAUGCGUAGCCGACCUGAGAGGGUGAUCGGCCACACUGGAACUGAGACACGGUCCAGACUCCUACGGGAGGCAGCAGUCGGGAAUCUUCCGCAAUGGGCGAAAGCCUGACGGAGCAACGCCGCGUGAGUGAAGAAGGUCUUCGGAUCGUAAAACUCUGUUAUUAGGGAAGAACAAAUGUGUAAGUAACUAUGCACGUCUUGACGGUACCUAAUCAGAAAGCCACGGCUAACUACGUG